rnacentral:lncRNA from 1 species
CCAAAGAAAGAUGGAGUGCAAAUCGAAUUGGGAUGCCAGAUCCUUUUCUGCCUCCUGGCCAGUAGGGCUGAAAUUCCUCCUUAUGUCUGGGAAAAGUGGGAAACCUGGCUGACUGCCAGCCUGCAGAUUAGGGCUGCUGAGAUGCUGUCAGCAGCAGUCUUGAUGGAUUCCCUUGUGGAGGUGCUGCUCCUUGGCCCUUCUAAUGCAGUCCUGUGCCUAAAGGUACAAAAAGAGGCUGGGGAGAUGGGAAGGAAACACAUUAAUUUUAAAUAGCAGUGCUCAGAUUCUUCUGCACAGAAGUCCAAGCAGAGAAGGAGAUGAACCCUAAACCAACAAAUUGUAGCUGUAAAUUGACAAGCGAAAAGAGAAUAAUGGGAAGAAAAAAGACAAGAGGGUUAGUUUGAAGAUAUUGCAUGCACUUCUUACUUUUUGUAAGUAUUUAUUAAGUAAUAAAUUAAUAUCC